AUUUGUUUUUUAAUUGGAAACUGGUAUGAAUGGUUUAACGAAAAAUAAACUUUUUUUUUUAUAAUAAUUAAAUUUAAAUUUUUAGUGAAAAUGCUAAAAUUAUUUAAAUAGACGAGAAGACCCUAUAGAGUUUUAUUAUAUUUUUAUUUUUAUUAAUUUUGUUUUUAUUAUAAAAUUUGAAAUAAUAAUUUAGUUGGGGCGAUAUUAAGAUAUAAAUAACUCUUAUUUUUAUUAACCUUAAUAAAGGGUUAUAAUGAUCCUUUAAAAAAGAUUAAAAGAAAAAAUUACCUUAGGGAUAACAGCGUAAUCUUUUUUGAGAGUUCUAAUCGACGAAAAGGUUUGCGACCU
rnacentral:rRNA from 1 species